rnacentral:rRNA from 1 species
CGGACGGGUGAGUAAUGUCUGGGAAACUGCCCGAUGGAGGGGGAUAACUACUGGAAACGGUAGCUAAUACCGCAUAACGUCGCAAGACCAAAGAGGGGGACCUUAGGGCCUCUUGCCAUCGGAUGUGCCCAGAUGGGAUUAGCUAGUAGGUGGGGUAAUGGCUCACCUAGGCGACGAUCCCUAGCUGGCCUGAGAGGAUGACCAGCCACACUGGAACUGAGACACGGUCCAG